rnacentral:hammerhead_ribozyme from 1 species
AUUUAGCUGACGAGUCCAAAAUGGGACGAAACGCACGUCAUAAAU